GAUGAACGCUAGCGACAGGCCUAACACAUGCAAGUCGAGGGGCAUCAGGGUUGAAGCUUGCUUCAACUGCUGGCGACCGGCGCACGGGUGAGUAACACGUAUGCAACCUGCCCGUCACAGGGGGAUAAUCAGGGGAAACUCUGUCUAAUACCCCAUAAUGUGUUUUGGGGGCAUCCCCGAGACACCAAAGCUUUAUGUGCUGAAAGAUGGCCUCGCGUCUGAUUAGAUAGUUGGUGAGGUAACGGCUCACCAAGUCUGCGAUCAGUAGCCGGUCUGAGAGGAUGAACGGCCACAUUGGGACUGAGAUACGGCCCAGACUCCUACGGGAGGCAGCAGUGGGGAAUAUUGGGCAAUGGGGGAAACCCUGACCCAGCAACGCCGCGUGAAGGAAGAAGGCCUUCGGGUUGUAAACGUU
rnacentral:rRNA from 1 species